rnacentral:rRNA from 1 species
AGGACGAACGCUGGCGGCGUGCUUAACACAUGCAAGUCACGGGGGCCCGUAGCAAUACGGGCAACCGGCGAACGGGUGCGUAACACGUGAGCAAUCUGCCGAUCUCUGGGGGAUAGCCAGCCUAACGGCUGGGUAAUACCGCAUACGCUCGUUGGGGGGAGUCCCCUGAUGAGGAAACCUCUGGGGGAGAUCGAGGAGCUCGCGACCUAUCAGCUAGUUGGCGGGGUAACGCCCACCAAGGCAGCGACGGGUAGCUGGUCUGAGAGGAUGGCCAGCCACAUUGGGACUGCGACACGGCCCAGACUCCUACGGGAGGCAGCAGUGGGGAAUAUUGCGCAAUGGACGAAAGUCUGACGCAGCGACGCCGCGUGUGGAUGAAGCCGUUCGGGUGUAAACCGACUGUUGCCCGGGACGAACUCCUCUUCGAGAGGAUUGACGGUACCGGGUGAGGAGCGACCGGCUAACUCGUGCGCCAGCAGCCGCGGU